AAAAGACAGGGCUUCAAUUAUUUAAGGAGAAAGCAUGUUUGGAAGAGAUGCUUUACUUCAGGGGAAAGAGAUGAAAGAAGACUCCUCAAAUAUCUUGGGUGUUUGGCACUAGGAAAUCACAAAUUAUGGACUCAUUAUGCUACAGAUUCUAUAAAGUUGAUCCAACCAGAUACUCAAGUGAGCUUUGUACGCUGCAUAAGAAAGAAAUACAAAGAUAAACAUGUUUGAACAUGAAGAAAUAAAUUUAAACUAAAGAAAAGCAUGACAAGGAAAGAGUAGGAACAACUGCUAUUUAAAUAAACAUUUUUGUUAUCUGGAUGAUCAAAUGAGCUGUAUUACCAAUCAGACAAUCAGUUCUGGAAACACCUGACUUUUCUUUCAUACAAUUGUUUUCAGCAAGUUUUGUUUAUAAAAAAUAAAUAAUACACGGAUGGCCAAAGAGCUUGAAAUAAAAAAGUUAACUGGAGUCUACUCAGUGUUUCGCUGGCAAAUAUUUAACAACUGGGUCUCUAAAGAAAAAAAAAAAGCCCCAAUUGGAUAAUCCACCAGUUUUUGUAGUGUGAAUAAUCCCACCAUGGCCAGUUUCACGCUGCCAAUGGUAUAACAACCAGCUUUUGAAAUUCUAAAAAUUUAACAAUUGGCUUCUGCAAGCCAGAGUAGGCUUUCUCCAGCAUACUCUGACUCUACUAUAGAGAAGCAAGACCAUGUUCCUCCUCUGACAAGCCACAUACUGCUUCCCAGACUUGCUCACUGAAUCCCUUUGCCUGGCCUGACUUACC
rnacentral:lncRNA from 1 species